rnacentral:misc_RNA from 1 species
CUGCUUUCCUCACGUUCGAUCAGUCAUUGCUCCACGAAAUGAUGUUGGAUGCAAAAAUGGGGGGUUCCUGUGUUGCGUACCUAUUGUGAUGGGAAAUCGGUUGAUUUCAUUGUGCCUCUUUCGUCCUCGCUUCCUCUCGGAAGUUCGGAUGGACUAGACGGAUGGGCUUGUGUUCCACGGACGGACGUCUCACAYGAACGUUCCGACGGACCACGAGCGCAAUCUUGUUCUCUCGGAUGCGGAAAGUCCCUAAUAAUGGGCGUGGGUCAAUGGCUCUCGGUCCCGAAUCGGUAAGCGAUGAUCGCUUUACAUGGGAAUGACGCUCUUGCCUCGUCUUCGAUCACGGGGAGCGGACGGGAAACGCUCUCGCGAUGGAUCAUGCGUGGCGGACGUCGUGAAGGAAUGCUACCUGGUUGAUCCUGCCAGUAGUCAUAUGCUUGUCUCAAAGAUUAAGCCAUGCAUGUGUAAGUAUGAACUAAUUCAGA